rnacentral:rRNA from 1 species
UACGAAGGGGGCUAGCGUUGCUCGGAAUCACUGGGCGUAAAGCGCACGUAGGCGGAUCUUUAAGUCAGGGGUGAAAGUCCCAAGGCUCAACCUUGGAACUGCCUUUGAUACUGGGGAUCUCGAGUCCGGAAGAGGUGAGUGGAACUGCGAGUGUAGAGGUGAAAUUCGUAGAUAUUCGCAAGAACACCAGUGGCGAAGGCGGACUCACUGGUCCGGUACU